UGAGGAACAUGACCUUCGGCGGGGGAUAGCCGGCCCAACGGCCGGGUAAUACCGCGUACGACCACAUGGGGACAUCCCUGAGUGGUGAAAGCAGCAAUGCGCCGAUGGAGUGCCUCGCGGCCUAUCAGCUAGUUGGUGGGGUAACGCUCACCAAGGCGACGACGGGUAGCUGGUCUGAGAGGAUGGCCAGCCACAUUGGGACUGAGACACGGCCCAGACUCCGUACGGGAGCAG
rnacentral:rRNA from 1 species